rnacentral:lncRNA from 1 species
GAUGUACUAAUGCGCCUUGUGAAGACUCACUCCCGUGGCCUCUGGGGUUCGGCAUUGAAAGAGAGGGUGGGAGAGGAAAGGAAAGAGAAGGGGAAAGGACUCAUUUGGAAGCAGUGCAUUUUUAUCAGAGGGACUGAAAAGCCUUUCGAGAAUCAGUCAAGAAAAAGGAAUGCGCAUGAGAGUCAUGGUCACAUCAUGUGAUUGUAGGGAAAGCCUAGGCUAUCAUGGAGGGAAGAGAUUGGAUAAAUUAUUUGAAAAGCAAGCCUGUGAAUUGCUGUGGAGGAACAAUAGCCUGUCUCUUAUCUGGAGCCUUUCCAAGGAAAAGCAAAGGGGACCCUAGAAGGCUUCCUGGGAGACAGUUUAAUUCUGAAAACAAAGCAGUACUUCACCUCUUGUGUGUUGGGUAGAGCUGUAAAACAGAACACAGUCAAAAUAGUCAUUAGGGCCACAUCAAUGUCUGCCCAAAGUCAGGCGAGCAUUCCCAGGAAGGUGGGGGGCUGUGGCAGUUGCACACAUCAACCUCCUUUCUCCAUUGUCACACAGCAGAAGAGCGUGUUCCAUUCUACUAAAGUUGGGGCGGGGGGAGUUGAAUAAUUUAUUGACUGAAAACUGGGGGCCUGAGUUAGAUGGUAAAAAAGUUUAGAGUGCUGUUUUUUGUUUUUUAAGUUAUGUUUGUUUUAUAUAUUGAAGUGCUUAAAAUGUAUUUUAAAAAUUCAAAACAUCCCAGAAAUUCAGCAACUUGAGGAGACAAUAGUGACGAACAUUUUAUGGCAACAUUUGGACACUUUAAAGAUUAUUUCAGGAACUUUAAUGCUGAUAAAUGAGAGAAGGGACAACUUUUCCUAACUAUAACAUUUCGGCACCUGAGUACAGGGAUCAAAACAAGAGCAAGCAUUUCAAAUUCAUAUUGUGAAGCACCUACAAAAAGAUUAUUCUGUUAGCCUUCAUAAUGUGGAGAGUUCAUCUUUUCAUCUUAUCAAAUAAAAAUAUACCCAAAUUCUUGAACAGGCAUUCAGUUAGGAAAAGAGGGUGGGGUGAUGAAAUGUGUUCUCAUUCAGCAAACACUUUGCAGAUAUUUCUAGUCAAAGAUCCCUGUGGUCUAGGCUAGUGAGAGAAAAACGUGCCCUCUGCCCAGUGACAGCGGCUGCACGGGGAUCAGCUUUCACCAAUGCAGGCAGGGGAACAAAGGGCAGGCUUCAUCUGCCUGCAUCCCACAGGCCCUUGCGCAGGGGAGUUCCAUUUCAGUGCCCAUCACAUGACCUCUCAGGCCAAAACGGUUUUUAAUAAUUCUGAUUUUGAAUAUCAAAUGGAAGUGAAAAGUACAUUUAGGAAGGAAGGGCUCUAUCCUUAUUGAAGAACAUGCUCUAUGCAAACAGGUUGGACAGGCACUAGCUCUUGUAGAGCUAUGGUUCUCAGCUUUGGCAACACACUGGAUCACCUCCUCUAAAAGGUACUGAUGCCUGCUUUCCUCCCUCUUCUGCCCCUAAAGAAAGUAGAAUUUAAUUUUAAGCUCUAGGGUGUGGCCUGGGCAUCAGGACUUUUUUUUUUUUUUUGACAGAGUCUCACUGUGUCACCUAGGCUAGAGUGCAGUGUGCAGUCUUGGCUCACUGCAGCCUCAAUCUCCCAGAUUCAAGAGAUCCUCCUGCCUCAGCCCCCUAAGUAACUAGGAUUACAGGCACGCACCACCACACCAGGCUAAUUUUUGUAUUUUUUGUGGAGACGGUCUUUCACUGUGUUGCCCAAGCUGGUCUUGAACUCCUGAGCUCAGGUGAUCCACCUGCCUCAGCCUCCCAAAGUGCUGGGAUUACAGGCAUAAGCCACAGCCCCUGGCCGGCAUCAGGAUUUUUAAAAGCUCCCAAGUGCAGUCAAGGUUGAGAACAGCUGCUAUAGUGUGACUUAAUACAGCAUUCAAAGCCUCUCAUAAUCUAGCCUCAGCCUAAUUUUUCCUUCCAGCACCCCAUCUCAGCCUGUACAUAAGCCACAGAGACAUUCUCACUGUUCUCUGAAUGUACUUGGCUCAUUCAUAUUUCCAGGCUUUCUUGCACACACAUUGUCUGACUCUGGGCACCUAAGGAAAGCUCAGCUCCAAUGUCCUCUCCUCUUCCGUGAAACCUUUCCUGUCAAGCCCACCUUCACUACUAAGUCACUCCUUGCUCCUAGAUCAGAUGGAAGAAUGCUUUGGCAUAUCUCUACUGGAGCCCUUCUCACUUUACAUUAAAGAUAACUGUAUAUAGGUUAGCCCACUCCUCCUCCCUAAUAGCAUGUGGACCCUUUGUAGUUUCAGCAGUAAGCACAGGGCUUGGUUUCUAUGAAUACUUAUUGAGUGAAUGGAUGAAUGAAUGCCAAUCUUGUACAUUGUUGAUGUUCACCACAUUGAACCCAGUUCUCAAACCAGGAUCACUUGGGAGAUUCUGAGUCAAUAAUUUGAAGGUCUGUAUCAUUCCUACUCAAAGUGUGGUCCAUAAGCCAGCAGUGGCUAUAUUAUCUGGGAGCUUGUUGCAAAUGCAGAAUAUGUAUUUUAACAAGAUCCCCAGGCAAUUCAUAUGCACAUUACACUUUGAGCUAUAUUUUUAACAAGCUCCCAGGUGAUUCCUUUGUAGCCCGGCUGCUGACCUGCAUUUCGUAACCACUGUUCUAGACCUUCAUUUGCUGAAUGGAGUGGUCCCUGUGUGAUUGCCUACAGGUUUCUUCUAGUCUCCCAUUUUUCUUCCUAGUUAACAAAGCCCAAAUUUUGUUUGGAAGGGUGAUCAGCCCUUCACCCAUCAGGCCUUUGCCUCAGGGAAGCUUGACCCCACCUUUAGACCCCAUGUUGGGCCUGAGUAGUCCAAAGGCAUAUCCCAUUCCCCUGGCCAGGGAUUAGUUUAGGGAUAGACAUGUGACCAAAUUCAGCUCAAUAAAAUGUGAGUCUGCAGGGGCAAUCUAGAAAAAGUGUCCUCUUCCCUAAGAGAAAGCCACAGGAGGGUAAAAAAAUGUCUCAGAACAUUGUCCUGCCUAAACAUGAUGCCUCGGACAUUCUGCUUCUGUCUUGCUACCUGCAGCACAAGGAAAUCCAACACUGAGGGGUCACAGCAGAGGGACGGAAAGCACCUGGAUCUUACAACAUUGUUGAGCUCUUUUGUCUCUUGACUUCUAGUUAUGAGAUGUAAUUUUCUUACUGUUAAAGUCAUUUCUGUUCCUUGCAACCAAAAGCAUUCAUUGAUACACUGAAUAUAGUACAAUAUUUAUUCAAUCAAUAAAUGCCUGGCAAAUUACCCAA